GGAUGCGAUCAUACCAGCACUAAAGCACCGGAUCCCAUCAGAACUCCGAAGUUAAGCAUGCUUGGGCGAGAGUAGUACUAGGAUGGGUGACCUCAUGGGAAGUCCUCGUGUUGCAUUCC
rnacentral:rRNA from 1 species